rnacentral:rRNA from 1 species
GAGUUUGAUCCUGGCUCAGGAUGAACGCUGGCGGCGUGCCUAAUACAUGCAAGUAGAACGCUGAAGCUUGGUGCUUGCACCGAGCGGAUGAGUUGCGAACGGGUGAGUAACGCGUAGGUAACCUGCCUCUUAGCGGGGGAUAACAGUCAGAAAUGACUGCUAAUACCGCAUAAGCGCACAGAGCUGCAUGGCUCGGUGUGAAAAACUCCGGUGGUAUAAGAUGGACCCGCGUUGGAUUAGCUAGUUGGUGAGGUAACGGCCCACCAAGGCGACGAUCCAUAGCCGGCCUGAGAGGGUGAACGGCCACAUUGGGACUGAGACACGGCCCAGACUCCUACGGGAGGCAGCAGUGGGGAAUAUUGCACAAUGGAGGAAACUCUGAUGCAGCGACGCCGCGUGAAGGAUGAAGUAUUUCGGUAUGUAAACUUCUAUCAGCAGGGAAGAAGAUGACGGUACCUGACUAAGAAGCCCCGGCUAACUACGUGCCAGCCGCCGCGGUAAUAC